rnacentral:rRNA from 1 species
UACCUGGUCUUGACAUCCACAGAACUUUCCAGAGAUGGAUUGGUGCCUUCGGGAACUGUGAGACAGGUGCUGCAUGGCUGUCGUCAGCUCGUGUUGUGAAAUGUUGGGUUAAGUCCCGCAACGAGCGCAACCCUUAUCCUUUGUUGCCAGCGGUCCGGCCGGGAACUCAAAGGAGACUGCCAGUGAUAAACUGGAGGAAGGUGGGGAUGACGUCAAGUCAUCAUGGCCCUUACGACCAGGGCUACACACGUGCUACAAUGGCAUAUACAAAGAGAAGCGACCUCGCGAGAGCAAGCGGACCUCAUAAAGUAUGUCGUAGUCCGGAUUGGAGUCUGCAACUCGACUCCAUGAAGUCGGAAUCGCUAGUAAUCGUAGAUCAGAAUGCUACGGUGAAUACGUUCCCGGGCCUUGUACACACCGCCCGUCACACCAUGGGAGUGGGUUGCAAAAGAAGUAGGUAGCUUAACCUUCGGGAGGGCGCUUACCACUUUGUGAUUCAUGACUGGGGUGAAGUCGUAACAAGGUAACCGUAGGGGAACCUGCGGUUGGAUCACCUCCUU